AGGAGGAACAACCGCAGUGGCGGGGCCAGCUCUGCAGCCCUGGAGUCAGCCCCCGCUGUGGCUACAGAGCUCUCGGUCUGCAGGGCCUGGAGGCUCCGGGGCGGG
rnacentral:pre_miRNA from 1 species